rnacentral:rRNA from 1 species
GCCCAUCAUCCAGAAUGUUCCGUAUUUCAUCAGACCCCUGAAGCUAAACAGGUUUGAACCUGGAUAGUACUUGGAUAGUCGACCACCCUAAAUAGCAGGUGGUAUAGGCA